rnacentral:rRNA from 1 species
ACUCAAAUGAAUAGACGGGGACCCGCACAAGCAGUGGAGUAUGUUGUUUAAUUCGAUGCUACGCGAGAAACCUUACCGACCCUUGACAUCCCGCACGCGAUUUCCAGAGAUGGAUUUCUUCAAUUCGGUUGGUGCGGAGACAGAUGCUGCAUGGCUGUCGUCAGCUCGUGUCGUGAGAUGUUAGGUUAAGUCCUGCAACGAGCGCAACCCACGCCCUUAGUUGCCAGCGGGUAAAGCCGGGAACUCUAAGGGGACUGCCCGAGUUAAUCGGGAGGAAGGCGUGGAUGACGUCAAGUCAUCAUGGUUCUUACGGGUCGGGCUACAAACGUACUACAAUGGCGAUAACAGAGUGUCGCAAAGCCGCAAGGCCAAGCCAAUCAUCAAAAAUCGCCUCAGUUCAGAUUGUCCUCUGCAACUCGAGGGCAUGAAGUUGGAAUUGCUAGUAAUCGCGGAUCAGAACGCCGCGGUGAAUACGUUCCCGGGUCUUGUACACACCGCCCGU